rnacentral:tRNA from 1 species
GCCGGUGUAGCUCAGUGGAAGAGCAACUGAUUCGUAAUCAGUAGGUCGGAGGUUCAAAUCCUCUCAUCGGC